UGCUUAACACAUGCAAGUCGAACGGUUUCUACUUUCUUCGGAGAGUAGCGAUAGUGGCGGACGGGUGAGUAACGCGUAAGAACCUACCCUUAAGAGGGGGACAACAGUUGGAAACGACUGCUAAUACCCCAUAAGCUGAGGAGUUAAACGAAUUUUUAAUUCGGCUUAAGGAGGGGCUUGCGUCUGAUUAGCUAGUUGGUAGGGUAAUUGCCUACCAAGGCGACGAUCAGUAGCUGGUUUGAGAGGAUGAUCAGCCACACUGGGACUGAGACACGGCCCAGACUCC
rnacentral:rRNA from 1 species